GCACAAGCGGUGAGCAUGUGGUUAAUUCGAAGCAACGCGAAGAACCUUACCAGGUCUUGACCAUCCCCUGACAACCCGAGAGAGUCGGGCGGUUCCCCCUUCGGGGGGACAGGGUGACAGGUGGUGCAUGGUUGUCGUCAGCUCGUGUCGUGAGAUGUUGGGUUAAGUCCCGCAACGAGCGCAACCCUCGACCUUAGUUGCCAGCAUUCAGUUGGGCACUCUAAGGUGACUGCCGGCUAAAAGUCGGAGGAAGGUGGGGAUGACGUCAAAUCAUCAUGCCCCUUAUGACCUGGGCUACACACGUGCUACAAUGGGCGGUACAAAGGGUCGCGAACCCGCGAGGGGGAGCCAAUCCCAAAAAGCCGCUCUCAGUUCGGAUUGCAGGCUGCAACUCGCCUGCAUGAAGCCGGAAUCGCUAGUAAUCGCGGAUCAGCAUGCCGCGGUGAAUACGUUCCCGGGCCUU
rnacentral:rRNA from 1 species